rnacentral:misc_RNA from 1 species
AAGUCGUAACAAGGUUUCCGUAGGUGAACCUGCGGAAGGAUCAUUACAUUUAGUAGCCUAGCUACUAUUCAGCGGGGUUCGUUAGUCUGCAUAGCUUAAUCGCUGAUGAGCAGCAAACCCCCUGUUUGUACCCUUGUCUUUUGCGCACCAAAAGUUUCCUCGGCGGGCUUGCUCGCCGGCUGGACAACACUAUAACCUUUUUAAUAUUCAAUCAGCGUCUGAAAAACUUUAAUAAUUACAACUUUCAACAACGGAUCUCUUGGUUCUG